rnacentral:tRNA from 1 species
GCCGUUGUAGCUCAGUGGUAGAGCACUUCCUUGGUAAGGAAGAGGUCGUGAGUUCGAUCCUCAUCAACGGCU